GCACCCGUAGCUCAGCUGGAUAGAGCGUGGGCUUGCGGAGCCCAAGGUCGUAGGUUCGAAUCCUGCCGGGUGCACCA
rnacentral:tRNA from 2 species